GACGAACGCUGGCGGCGUGCUUAACACAUGCAAGUCGAACGGAAAGGCCCUGCUUUUGUGGGGUGCUCGAGUUGCGAACGGGUGAGUAACGCGUGAGUAACCUGCCCUUGACUGUGGGAUAACUUCAGGAAACUGGGGCUAAUACCGCAUAAGAGCUGCUGCUGCAUGGUGGGGGUUGGAAAGUUGCGACGGCUGGGCAUGCACUCGCGGCUUCGGAGCAUGAUGGUGGUGGAGUGGCUUCGCAAGGCUUUGACGGGUAGCCGGCCUGAGAGUGUGACCGGCCACAGAGGGACUGAGAUGCGAGCCAGACGGCUACGGGAGGCAGCAGCGGGGAAUAGAGCAAGAUGGGCGGAAGCAGGAUGCAGGAACUCCGCGUCGUGGAUGACGGUUUUAGGGUUGGAAACAGUUUGCGACUGUGACGAAGCGUGAGUGACGGUAUCUGGUAAAGAAGCAACGGCUAACUACGUG
rnacentral:rRNA from 1 species